rnacentral:rRNA from 1 species
GAGUUUGAUCCUGGCUCAGGACGAACGCUGGCGGCGUGCUUAACACAUGCAAGUCGAACGGGAAACUUUUCAUUGAAGCUUCGGCAGAUUUGGUCUGUUUCUAGUGGCGGACGGGUGAGUAACGCGUGGGUAACCUGCCUUAUACAGGGGGAUAACAACCAGAAAUGGUUGCUAAUACCGCAUAAGCGCACAGGACCGCAUGGUCCGGUGUGAAAAACUCCGGUGGUAUAAGAUGGACCCGCGUUGGAUUAGCUAGUUGGUGAGGUAACGGCCCACCAAGGCGACGAUCCAUAGCCGACCUGAGAGGGUGACCGGCCACAUUGGGACUGAGGCACGGCCCAGACUCCUACGGGAGGCAGCAGCGGGGGAUAUUGCACAAUGGGGGAAACCCUGAUGCAGCGACGCCGCGUGGAGGAAGAAGGUUUUCGGAUUGUAAACUCCUGUCGUUAGGGACGAUAAUGACGGUACCUGACUAAGAAGCACCGGCUAAAUACGUGCCAGCCGCCGCGGUAAUUC